rnacentral:hammerhead_ribozyme from 1 species
AGUACGAGUCCCAAAUAGGACGAAACGCGCGUCCUGGAU